GCCCUGGGAGAGUGGUUGCUGUGGCAACCGGCCGGGCGCCCGCCAGCUGCGGAUUAGCUCACUGGAGCCGCGGGAUGGGUCGGGAGGAGGGGGCGCGCGUCACUGCAGACGGUCGCGGCGCAGCCCAGAGCAGAGGAAGGGGCCGCGCGCGCGGGAGGCCAGAGGAGACGCAGCGCGCCUCCCAGGCCGGAGGCGGCGGGGACCGGACGGGAGCGCGCGCGGUGGGGACCCGAGGGGCUCGCGGCGGCCGGGGGAGGCCGCGCGGACAAAGGCGCGGAGGGCAGCGGGCCAUGGCGCCCCAGGCCCCCGCCGCCCCUGCCCCGGGCGACCGCGAGUUGCACCCCGGAACCCGCGGAGCCGCCGCCCGUGGAGAGGUAGGGCCGGGCGUCGGAGUGCGGGGCGAGCCUGAGGAAGACCCGAAAGGGGUCAAGGAAGAAGCUACAAAGACUAGGGAAGCUCCUGGAAGGCAACCACUUGGGAGGUCCAUUCCUCUGCAAAAAACUAAUCCAGCACUGCCCUGGGGAAGGAGUCCCUCAGGGAGCCCCCACACCCUCAUGCUGGAGGCCAGAGUGGACAUGCUCAGCUCCAACAUGAUCAUCAGUGGCCCGGCUGCAGACCUUGGUGCUAAGGAAGCCACCAGGUCCUUGAAGAAGAACCCUGGACCAUCCGCCCGAGCCAGAGCCCAGCCCCAGCCCCUCAGCAUAAAGGACAAGAUAUCCAAGUGGGAAGGCAAGAAGGAGCUACCCACCUCAGAUCCCCCCAGGCAAACAGAUGGCCAAGAGGACUGCCUGCCAUCCUGCAGGGUAAAGAGGAGAGGCAGUGAGCUCACCAGAAUUAAGAAUGGAAUGAGGCCUGAAACAGAGAGCUUGCAAAACGACAGCAGGGCAAGAAGCGUGUGUCAGGACACAGAACGGUUGCCAGGCCUGAGACAGAAUGAUGGACAGCCAGAGCCCAGCCAGCACCGUGGUCGUGAGCUGAAACCCAGCGACCUACGCUUUCAAAGUGACCAUCUCUCUGUGCUAAGACAGGUCAAGAGACUAGAGAAGGCCUUGAAGGAUGGUUCCGCUGGCUUGGACCCCCAGCUGCCAGGGACUUGUUAUUCACCUCACUGUCUGCCUGACAAGACAGAGGAAGACCAACCCAAUCCUGAAAGCCAUGAGAGUGGGGGCGCCUUAGCAGCUGGCCGGAGAGCUCACCACUUGGAGGUCAGGGAGCCAGGCCCUGAGAAUUCAGAGGACUGGAAAGGCCAGGAGAGCGUAUACAGGGGCUCCAGGUGGUACCCCCCAAAGCCUUUCAUCAAUCCCGUCCCCAAGCCCCGCAGAACAUUCAGACAUGCUGGAGAAGGAGACAAGGAUGUAAGCCCAGGCGUCAGCUUCAAGAAAGAGAAGAGAAACCUGCCUCCCCUGCCCUCUUUGCCUCCCCCUCCCCCACCACUGCCUUCCUCCCCUCCUCCCACUUCCGUGAAUAGAAGACUGUGGACCGGGAGGCAGAGACCCAGCGCUGACCACAGAAAGUCCUAUGAGUUCGAGGACUUACUACAGUCUUCCUCUGAGAACAGCAGGGUGGACUGGUAUGCACAGACCAAAUUGGGACUCACACGCACUUUAUCGGAGGAGAACGUCUAUGAAGACAUUCUAGAUCCGCCAAUGAAGGAAAAUCCUUAUGAAGAUGUGGAGUUACAUGGCCGCUGCCUGGGCAAGAAGUGUGUCUUGACUUUCCCUGGAUCUCCCACCUCUUCCAUCCCGGACACUUCCACCAAGCAGUCCUUGUCCAAGUCUGCAUUUUUCCGGCAAAACUCAGAGAGAAGAAACUUCAAGCUGUUGGACACUAGGAAGCUAAGUCGGGAUGGAACGGGGUCCCCACUGAGAACCAGCCCUCCCUCCACACCUAGCAGCCCAGAUGACACUUUCUUUAACCUUGGAGACCUACAGAAUGGCAGGAAGAAGAAAAAGAUCCCCAGGCUGGUAUUGAGGAUCAAUGCCAUUUAUGAGGCACGGAGAGGAAAGAAACGGGUGAAGCGGCUAUCCCAGUCCACGGAGAGCAACUCAGGAAAAGUGACAGAUGAGAACAGUGAGUCUGACAGCGACACAGAGGAGAAGCUGAAAGCUCACAGCCAGCGCCUGGUCAAUGUGAAGUCACGCCUGAAGCAGGCCCCUCGGUACUCAUCACUUGACCGGGAUCUCAUCGAGUACCAAGAGAGGCAACUCUUCGAGUACUUUGUGGUCGUGUCUCUGCACAAGAAGCAGGCAGGGGCUGCCUAUGUGCCAGAGCUCACCCAGCAAUUUCCUCUGAAGUUAGAAAAGUCACUCAAGUUCAUGAGAGAGGCUGAGGACCAGCUGAAGGCUAUUCCCCAGUUCUGCUUCCCUGACGCCAAGGACUGGGCUCCUGUCCAGGAGUUUACCAGUGAAACAUUCUCGUUUGUCUUAACUGGAGAAGACGGGAGCAGAAGGUUCGGUUACUGCCGAAGACUGCUGCCUGGAGGCAAAGGGAAGCGGCUUCCUGAGGUCUAUUGCAUUGUGAGCCGCCUGGGAUGCUUCAGCCUCUUUUCAAAGAUCUUGGAUGAGGUGGAAAAGAGAAGAGGAAUCUCCCCUGCCUUGGUGCAGCCCCUCAUGAGGAGCGUCAUGGAAGCCCCUUUCCCAGCCCUGGGCAAGACCAUCAUUGUCAAGAACUUCCUGCCAGGCUCAGGGACUGAGGUGAUUGAGCUGUGCCGACCGCUGGACUCCCGGCUAGAGCACGUGGACUUUGAGUCUCUGUUCUCCUCCCUCAGCGUCCGCCACUUGGUCAGUGUUUUUGCCUCCCUACUUCUGGAGAGGAGGGUCAUCUUCAUUGCAGACAAACUCAGCACUCUGUCCAAAUGCUGCCACGCCAUGGUAGCUCUCAUCUACCCCUUCAGUUGGCAGCACACCUACAUCCCCGUGUUGCCACCCGCCAUGAUCGACAUAGUGUGCUCGCCCACGCCCUUCCUCAUUGGGCUGCUCUCCAGCUCGCUGCCUCUGCUCAGGGAGCUGCCACUGGAAGAGGUUCUUGUGGUCGAUCUCAUCCAUGAUCGGUUCCUCAGACAGAUGGAAGACGAGGAUUCCAUUCUGCCCCGGAAGCUUCAGGUAGCCCUGGAACACAUCCUGGAGCAGAGGAAUGACCUGGCCUGUGACCAGGAUGGAGGCCCUCUUGACUGUGUGCAUGGCCCUGAGUCCAGUUCCUUGAGUGAGGUGGUGUCCGAAGCCUUUGUCCGCUUUUUUGUGGAGAUUGUGGGCCACUACUCCCUGUUCCUGACAUCGGGCGAGGAGAGAAGCCUGCAGCGAGAGGCCUUCAGAAAAGCUGUCUCCUCUAAGAGCCUACGACGCUUCCUGGAAGUCUUCAUGGAGACCCAGACUUUCCGUGGCUUCAUCCAGGAGCGGGAACUACGCAGGCAAGAUGCCAAAGGUCUGUUCGAAGUCCGAGCCCAGGAGUACCUGGAAACCUUGCCCAGCGAAGAGCACAGCGGGGUCAAUAAGUUCCUCAAGGGACUGGGUAAGGCCUGCCUCCCUGUCGCCAGCCUCACUUCUUAACCAUCUUCCCUGGAGUCGUCACUACUUCCAUCCGCAAGACCCAGGAACGGUCCAGGAUGGACUGUCUGCCUCUCUUAGUCUGUCUGUCCCUGGGGCCAGGCAGGGAGUACCUCAAUACAGGUAAUAAAAUGAAGUUUCUCCACAAGAAAUAAUCCUCCUCUUGGCUCAAGGGAAAACCUCCUCCCUAGCGCCGUAGUCCUCCCAGGAUGGGCCCCUUAGCUGGGCAGGUGGCACAUGCUCAGAACAGCUCUGGAACAGACCGGUCAGCUUGCAGAUUGUCCUUACUGUGGUUGGUUGGUUCUGGGAUCUUUAAAUCUUAGAUGUUAAAAGAGAAGAAGGGAAGCGUUUGGCUCUCCGUUCAGCUCUCCUGCCCCAUCUCAUCUCUUCUGGACCAGCUUGGUGACGCUGGAGCCAGGAGCUAGGAAGAGUGGCUCCGGCCAAGCCACUGGCUCCUCCGGACUAGUCUAUGACGCCACCUGGUGGCAGAGACUGGACUUUACUGUUCUUGACUACAUUUUUUUUCCCCCUUAGAAGCCAUAGCGCUCCAUUCAUGCCCCAAAAGUCUGUGGCUUUUAGAGGGACACAUGAAAACAGGAAAUCCUGUUAACUGGUAAUAAAAUAUUCUAAGGGUCCUGAAGUUUCUAUUUCCUGUGACCCAACCAUGACACUUAGGCCACUACUGUGAGCCUAUUCCUCUUGACCAACAAAGCUGGGAGAGGUUUCUGUAGUUGCUUCUCUUUAAUGAGAGGGAGGACCCCGAUCAGCUAGCCUGUGGGGUCAGUGAGAGUCUGCAAGAGUCCUGUGUGCAGCAAAGGAAGGUUCUCAGGCUGGCCUCGGGGCUACCACCUGAUACUGCUGGGCCCUUGCGAAUGCAGCCAGUAACUAGCUACAUCUGGAUUGCCUCUGACCUGAGCAGGAUUGAUAGGAGUGUGUGGCUAGGGUGUUGGGGGAAGCCUGAGAAUCUAUACCACAAAGUUACUUGGCCUAGGUUACUGAUAGCAAUGUUCUGUGUAUUUUUAUAUUGCCCCCAAGUGAUCACAGUUAGUAUUUUGGAAUAUACAUUCUUUUCUAACUUAUUUUAUAUUAUACUGUUUUACUUAAGAACUCCAGGUGAAUAAAUAAAUAUAUCUUUAUCAAUG